GACGAACGCUGGCGGCGUGCCUAAUACAUGCAAGUUGAGCGCUGAAGGUUGGUACUUGUCCCAACUUGAUGAGCAGCGAACGGGUGAGUAACGCGUGGGGAAUCUGCCUUUGAGCGGGGGACAACAUUUGGAAACGAAUGCUAAUACCGCAUAAAAACUUUAAACACAAGUUUUAAGUUUGAAAGAUGCAAUUGCAUCACUCAAAGAUGAUCCCGCGUUGUAUUAGCUAGUUGGUGAGGUAAAGGCUCACCAAGGCGAUGAUACAUAGCCGACCUGAGAGGGUGAUCGGCCACAUUGGGACUGAGACACGGCCCAAACUCCUACGGGAGGCAGCAGUAGGGAAUCUUCGGCAAUGGACGAAAGUCUGACCGAGCAACGCCGCGUGAGUGAAGAAGGUUUUCGGAUCGUAAAACUCUGUUGGUAGAGAAGAACGUUGGUGAGAGUGGAAAGCUCAUCAAGUGACGGUAACUACCCAGAAAGGGACGGCUAACUACGUG
rnacentral:rRNA from 1 species